UUUUUUUUUAAAUUAUGUUUUCUUUAGAUUUGGAUUGUCGCAUGAAUUGAGUUGUUAAUAAUGUUUAGGUGAGUCAUCAACUAGUGGUUUCUGGGUAUGUAGUUUGUAGGAGAGUCACAUUAUUUGUCAUGCCUAAUUUGUAUUUCAUGUACUCUUAUUAUUCCAAUUUUAUAUGCACUCAAUUUUCGGGUCAUAAUGGUAGCAUG
rnacentral:misc_RNA from 1 species